UACUAAAGAGCUAAGGGAUG
rnacentral:piRNA from 1 species